rnacentral:rRNA from 1 species
GAUGAACGCUGACAGAAUGCUUAACACAUGCAAGUCAACUGUGGUGGACGGGUGAGUAACGCGUAAAGCACUUGCCUCACAGCUAGGGACAACAUUUGGAAACGAAUGCUAAUACCUGAUACUGUGAGAGGGCUUUGCGUCCCAUUAGCUAGUUGGAGAGGUAACGGCUCACCAAGGCGAUGAUGGGUAGCCGGCCUGAGAGGGUGAUCGGCCACAAGGGGACUGAGGAACGGGCCUUACUCCUAAGGGAGGCAGCAGUGGGGAAUAUUGGACAAUGGACCACAGUCUGAUCAAGCAAUUCUGGGUGCACAAUGAAGUUGUCGGAAUGUAAAGUGCUUUCAGUUGGGAAGCGGUACCAACAGAAGAAGUAACGGCUAAAUACGUGCCAGCAGCCGCGGUAAUAC